GUCUCUGUGGUGCAACCGGCUAGCGCAUUCGGCUAUUACCUGAAAGGUUGGUGGUUCAAGCCCACCCAGGGAUG
rnacentral:tRNA from 1 species